CAGAUCUAAAACUCUACACAUACCUGCCUGGACCUUUCCCUCUGAAGCUACUACUAAGGCUUUGUCAAGGUGGCGUUCUCCUCUAUUGCAAGGCAGUUUAUCAUGAUGGCUAUGUACAGAAUCAGAGCAUCUUGGGUGCUGGGCCAUGUCCUCUUUUUCCUGGACACACUGAGGAGCUACAUUUCUCAGCUUCCUUUCAGACCAUGAUCCCGCAAGGGUCCUCCUUGUCAAAGACAGCCUAGAGAGGAUGGCAAUGAGGAAAAUAAGGAAAAUCAAGAAGAGACCCAAGGUCAGCAGCCACCUCAACGUUGGUACCAUUGCAACUUAAGUUACUGACAGAAAACCCUAAACCACAAGAUGGCAAAGAGAAAAAAGCAGCUGAUCCACCAGCUGAGAAUUUAUCUGCUCCCUAGAAUUUAUAAGCAGGCCGGGGCUGGUAAAUGCCUACUUACCAUCUCUAUCAUCAUCCAGUUUAGUCAUCCAACAUGAUGAAGAUGAAAUGAAGAUGAAAUUCCAGCAACAAGAAAUGAACAACAGAUUGGAGCUGAAGACCUUAAGGGCUUGCUUUUUGUCCAUUGACCAGAUAAACAGAACUAUGUACAUUAUCUAUGCAGCAUGGGGUUUUUAUUAUUUUUACCUAAAGACAUCUCUUUGUGGUAACAACAAACAUGUUUUUUUUUUUUUUUUUUUUUUAAAGCCUGUUUUUUUCUCAAUACACCUUUAAAGGUUUUUAAAUUGUUUCAUAUUUGGUCAAGUUGAGAUUUUUAAGAACCUCAUUUUUAAUUUGUAAUAAAAGUUUACAACUUGAUUUUUUUUCAAAAAAAGUCAACAAAUGGCAAGUACUAUGUUUAUGAGAGAUAUUAGUCUGUAGUUUUCCUUGCUUGUAACAUAUUUGUCAAAUUUUGAUACUGAGGUUACCCUCCCAUCAUAAAAUGAAUUGGAAAGCAUUUCCCCUGUCUUGUUUUUCCAAGAGAAUUGUUGAAAGAUUGUAUUAUUUCUUCCUUAAAUGUCUAAUAUAACAUAUCAGUGAAACCAUCUGGGCGUCAAGUUUUCUUUGUAAGAAGAUUUUAAUUAUAACAAUUUCUUAAAUAUACAUAUGCUUUUUCCCAAUUUUCUGUUAGAUUUCCUAAAUUGGGCUUUUUUCAAGGAAUUAAUGGAUUUCACCUAAAGCUACUGAAUAUAUUAUAAUAAAGUUGUUCAUUGUAUCACCUUAUUAUCCAUUUAAUAUCUGUAGGAUCUAUGAUUCCACACUAAAAUUCUCCUUUUAUUCUUGAUAUUGUAAUUUGUAUUAUUUUCUCUUUCUGACCAUUCUUUCUAAGGUUAUGACAAUUUUAUUAACUUUUUUCAAAGAACCAAUCUCUGGCUUUGUUGAUUUUUCUCUAUUUUUAAUUUUGUUAUUUUUUUUUUACU